rnacentral:rRNA from 14 species
GGAUGUUUUCCUAUGGGGGUAGAGCACUGGAUGGGCUAGGGGGUCGCGAGACCUACCAAACCUAACCAAACUCCGAAUACCAUAGAGACAAGUCCGGGAGACAGACGGCGGGUGCUAAGGUCCGUCGUCAAAAGGGAAACAGCCCUAACCUACAGCUAAGGUCCCCAAGUCAUAUCUAAGUGGGAAAGCAUGUGGGAAUCCCAAAACAACCAGGAGGUUGGCUUAGAAGCAGCCAUCCUUUAAAGAAAGCGUAAUAGCUCACUGGUCGAGUCGGUCUGCGCGGAAGAUGUAACGGGGCUAAACUAUGCACCGAAGCUGCGGAUUCAUACUUUGUAUGAGUGGUAGGGGAGCGUUCUGUAAGCGGUUGAAGGUGUACCGGGAGGUAUGCUGGACGUAUCAGAAGUGCGAAUGCUGACAUGAGUAACGAUAAUGCGGGUGAAAAACCCGCACGCCGGAAGACCAAGGGUUCCUAUCCCAUGUUAAUCAGGGUAGGGUAAGUCGACCCCUAAGGCGAGGCCGAAAGGCGUAGUCGAUGGGAAACGGAUUAAUAUUUCCGUACUUGGUAUAAUUGCGAUGGGGGGACGGAGAAGGCUAAGCAAGCAUGGCGAUGGUUGUCCAUGUGAAAGUGAGUAGGGCGUUUGUUUAGGUAAAUCCGGACGAACAUUAAACCUGAGACACGAGACGAGCUACUACGGUAGUGAAGUUGCUGAUGCCAUACUUCCAGGAAAAGCCUCUAAGCUUCAGAUUAUACCGAAUCGUACCCCAAACCGACACAGGUGGUCAGGUAGAGAAUACUAAGGCGCUUGAGAGAACUCGGGUGAAGGAACUAGGCAAAAUCGUACCGUAACUUCGGGAGAAGGUACGCUCCUAUCUGUGAUGAGACUUGCUCUCUAAGCGGACGGGAGCCGCAGUGACCAGGUGGCUGGGACUGUUUAUUAAAAACACAGCACUGUGCAAAAUCGCAAGAUGACGUAUACGGUGUGACACCUGCCCGGUGCCGGAAGGUUAAUGGAUGGGGUUAUCUUCGGAGAAGCUCUUGAUCGAAGCCCCGGUAAACGGCGGCCGUAACAAUAACGGUCCUAAGG